GCUGUGAUCUGGGGCACGUAAAUCAAUGAAACAGUCGGCUUUAACAUGUGGAAACCACCUUUCAGUAAGAGUUAUGUCCGCAUUAAAGUAAUCGGCAUCUAAUUUCGUGUAAUCAGGUGAGAAGCUAAUCUGGUACAUUACUGUGUGACUGGGAGAAAUUCUGGUGAUUGACGUGGACAGACAGUCGUUGGAGAAAUGAUGUUCCACAAACUACAGGGAAAUAUCAAGCAUGAGCCAAUGGGAAACUGAACAAGUGUCUGGUGCAGGAGAGACGGACAACAUUCUGGAUUCCAUUUUCGAUGAGGAAAAUAUCAAGCCUGGAAUGGAGAAAGCUUCUGGUGUACGAGACAAGAACUUGUGAAUGACAUCAGCGAGGAGAAUAUCUGGAAUUGAAAAAGCUGGAAAGUUAGAAGCGUUUCUGGUGUAGGAGAGAAGGACAACUUUUUUAAUAACACACACAGCCAGGAGAAUAUCAAGCAUGGAAUGGAAAACUGAGCUGCAAAUCAAGAAACCUCUUCUGGCGUGGGAGACAAGAACAACUUCUGAGUGACUUUACCAAUGAGGCUGCCAUCCCCAGUGUACAUCACCAGGACAUCAACACUAAUAAGGAGAAAGAAGCAAAUGAAACCAAACUAAUUCAUUUAGAUGUUUCUUCAGUGGAUUAUGCUUCAAGAUUGAGGUAGAUUUAGAUUUAUCACGAUUAGUUUUCUUGCUUCGAGAUUGUAUUUCACAAGACUCAAGAAUCCAAAGGAAUUAUCGGAGCUUUUGCAAAUUGUCUAAUGACUAUUUCACGGGUUUAGUAAAACCAUGUUAGUUGUCGAGCAAGCAGUGGAUUGAAUUGCACGUUUGUCGCUUUAAAUGUAAGGUAGCAGAUAAGCUUCAUCUCGAUUAUUUUUUUGCGAUAAGAUAUUUCAAGCCUGGAAGUCUUCUUAGCUUUUUCACAAAACUCGUGAAACAAAAUUCGACCAUCAGAAUUUAGUUGUCAAACAACACAUGGAAUGUACUGUUCAAUUGUCUAGAAUUUAUUUCACAAAUUUUAGUAAAAUCUGUCCAGUUUACGAGGUAGAUAGGAUUGAUGGAAAGGUUGCGCUUUUAAAAGGGCCAAUAAAAUUAUCGAAAAAAUAUUUAAGUCUUUUGGCAGUAAAAUUGUUCUUGGAAAAAAAGUCUGCAAUUUUAAAUGGUGUCUGGUUUUGAGUCAAAUUUAUACUAAGUCUUUUGGUGGAUAAAAGUAUUGCACUAUAUAGCAGGAUUUUUCCCAUCAAAAGUCAAAGUGUAUAUUUGAUUUCUGGCUAGACUCUGUUCAAAAGCGCAGAAUUUUUUUUCUUUUUGGCAACCCUACAUAGUCAAAAAAUAGUAAAAGAGAUAGCCUACAUUCCGACUUGUUUCCAGGCCCUUUUAUAUGCUCAAUUUUUUUUUUAUUUUGUUUACUUAUUCAAAUUGUUUGUAAUUAAUUUUAAUUAUAUUGUUGAAAAGCCAAUAAA